ensembl:lncRNA
CCGUCACAGCACCCAUGGAAGUGUGUCCGCCGAGUGCAGGCGUGUGAAGGAGCCACAGGAGGAGCUCAGCGUCUCGCCUGCUGCACUAUGAACCCUGUACCCAGGGGACCUGCCACGCGUGGUGACGGUGAGAGAGAGGACGUGGACGUCCCCAGGGACUCCGGCGGAUGGUCACAGCCCCCAGUACUGGUGUGUCGGAGGGGAGAGGUGGUAGCAAGGCCGGGCCUGCCAACGAGGAAAUCCCCAGCUCUUAAUGGCAAAGCCAGGAACAGUUUCACUCAGCAAGGAAGGCGUACGAGAACUGAAAGGCCCUUGUGAAGCGUCAGAAGGCAGAGUCCUUCGUCAUACGUGUAGUUACUCCCCUCGUGUGUGCUGGGACUUACCAACCCUUCCGACCUGGUUUUCAGAAAGUGACUCAUAUUUUCCACUCGUAUUUCAUUUGUUUACAUCAGCGGUUCUCAAGCUGUGGUCCGAGGAUGCUGGCGACCCUCAAGACCCUUUCAAGAGACCCACCAGGCAAAACUAAGACUCAUGACCAUACCAACGUCGUUCACUCUUUACCUUCUCAUUUCCUCUCGAAAGUACAAAUGAUGAAUUCUAGAGGCUGAAGCCUGCUCUGAUAGCUGAUGGACUCACGCUUGUGCAUUCAUGGGCUUUGAAAGUCUUUCAACCUUAAUUUCUCCUGUAGGGAAGCCUGGUGUUCUGCAGGCCAUGGGCUCGCAGAGUUGGACACAACUGAGCGACUGAACAACAACAAAUACUGAUAGAUGUGAACCAUAUAAACAAAAGCUCUUUGGGAAUAUUCAAUAAUUUUUAAGAGUGCAAAGGAGUCUGGCUACAAACAGUUUGAGAACUGCUAGUUUCUAUAUUUAUUAAAUCACACAUUUCUGAUAUCAAGCACAAUUGGCAUAAGAAAGACUUGGGAAUAAGCGUAACUGACUUGCAAUAAAUAAACACAGAGUUGACUGGAGGGCAUUUUGCAGAAAGGCCAAGAGCACUAAGCCUGCCCUGAGCAUCGGCUAGGAUGCUGCGGAAUGAGGAGAUGGGCAUCUGUCUGCGCGGAGGCAGACGAGAGGCAUCCACGGUACCCGAGGCGACGGAGUGACAGCGACGUUGCUGUUACGGAACACGUGCUGCGCGCCAGGGCCUGUGCUCAGUGUCUCCGUGGAGCCUCACCACCACCCUGAGAGAGGGCUUCUGCUUAUACAGGUGGGGCAGCUGAGGCUGAGAGGGGCCGACACUAAUAAGCCCGAGACCACCCCCCUGCCACCCAGCUCCUGAGGAGCAGAGUUAGGCCUGGAUCUCAGGUCUGCUGAUCUCCAGGACCUGCCUCUUAACCAGCUGUCCUCACCCCUGAGUCCCUGAAGUCUCCCCAGUUUCUAAGGAGGCAGGUGGGGCGGGCAGUGAAGUCAGGUGGGUACCCGUACCUUCCGCACAGUCUGGGCCGGGAGGCCGACACAGGCAGUGGGGACUGAGGUCAGGACCAGGUGGCCUCUUCAAGUCAUUUCCUUGUGGAAGCAGCAGAACGGACAUGAACGGUGCCCCACCCCCUCUUCCGUGCACCCCAUCAGUUGGUGCCAGCCUUGUAGGGGCCUUUGGGCAGAGCCUUGAUCCUGGCCUCUGCCCCCUCUUUCUGCCUCCCCUCUGUGUCCCACACCCAUCUGGAAGGGAGGAAGCUGAGCUCUGUGUGUGCUGAGCCCCUGACUUUUUAGGGGAUCGAACAGGAGGGACCGGCUGCUCCAGGGGCCCUUCCAUCUCAUGGUCUGAAGCUUCCUCAGAGCCCAGGAAUCCUGGGUUGCCCCCAUCCUGCCAGUUCUGAGGUUAGUGAGGGGCCCUCUGUGUUCCCUGUGGGCAACAGCUCCUGCGGCCCUGUGGGUUGGAGUCACGGGUGAGGAAUGGGGAGUGGCCGCUUCCCUCCUCGGGGCUGGCCUCCCCACGGUCACCAUGGAGAUCGUUUGUUUACUCCCACCUCCACAUGAGAUAAUCUGGAGAAACUGCCAUUUUUCUACACUUUCAACAUGAUGUGGAAUUCAGGCAAAUUCCAAAGCCACGCCAGCCUCCAGUUCCAAAGGCAGCCUACACGGACCUUAGGGUGCCCGCCAACUUUCCCUAAGAGGGCACACACCUCACCUCUGCUCCACAUUGUCUGUCUCCCUGCCUUUGCUCAAGCCAUUGUGCCAUCAGGAGUGCCCACCCUCCCCAUUGUUCAACUGAGUCAACUUCAUCCCCCCUUCACCCCAAGGCCAAGUGCAAACAUUACCUCCUCCUCCAUGACGGCCUCCUGGGUUCCACCCUGUCUCCCACCUCCUGACCUGCUUGAGGACUCUUCCUUCCUUGUCUCACCUCUGUCUAGCUUGGCCCUGAUUGCUUUCUACGUGACUCAGUAGUCACUCAUGUGUUUUUGUCUCCCCUCCAGACAGUGGAUCCUGGGGACACACAGGCUGUUCCUUCCUCCACGCUUAGAUACCAGCCGUGGAGUGAUGUUCCCGAGAGGGAGGCCGAGAGUGCCUGAACUGGGAGUUUGGUGAUCUGGACGAAUCUGAGCAAGUGGUUUGACUUCUCCGAACCCCGUUUUCCCCAACUUCUGAACAGUGUGAGGUACCUGGAGGAUUGCAAGGGGCCUUUUCAGAUCUGCAUUUCUCUUUGUUGCCUUUUGAGAACUCACCACAUUCCCCAAGCUGCUUCCAUGCCCAAUGUGUUUUGCAGACAAAGUGUCUGGAGAAGGGAUUGGGGCGGGUGUGGCAACCCCCUCCCCAUUCUUCAGGGAUUCCAGGAAGCCGGACCUGGGAGUAGGAGGCUGUCACUGACAUGCAGCCCUGUGCUGCCCCCGUGUGACCUAUGUGGGCACUGCACCAGGAAAGCCUUUCUCACCAACCUCUCUGAGGGCUACCCUGACAGAUGCCCAUCACCAACCUGGCUGGCCCGCUCAACCUCCCGCUGUCUUCCUGCUCACCUCUCACCUGGGCCAGGGAGCUCCUGGCGACCAAGGAUCAUCUUAGGAUGAGGACGCCCCAGGGUGGAAGGACUAAGAUCUCCGAUCAGCCAACCAGUGAGGCAUGUGCUGAAUGGAGCAAAGCUGGCUGGGCUGGACUUGGGUUCCAAUAGGCAGGUCUGGAGACAUGGCCACAAGGCAGCUCUGGGAGUGUCUAGGGUGUCAAUGACAAGCCAAGCUUGGCACAAUCCAGAAGAAUCGCUGUGCCCACGCUGCCAGGACAUUCAAAGACACACUGCCUAAUGAGCAAAGAAAAUGACCGCGCUUUACCAGCAGCUGCUGCAAGACACGUUUGAAGGGUCCAGUUUGUUAUCUUCCCUCCACUUCCUCACAGCUGUCUCCCUCGGGCUCCUCAAGCUCCUGCUCAUCUGUCCCAGUUGCUCCAGGAGGCUUCUCCCCCACCACCUGGAGACUGCCCCUUCCAGAGCGUGUGACCUUCUCAGCACCCCCAUCAGCUGAGAGGUGAUCUGGUCCAGGCUGCUCGCAUUUCAGUGGCCAGAACUCGUCACGUGCCCCCUCCAGCCAUGGGACAGGCAGUCUGCCAGGAGCUGGAAGGAGAAUUGAUGUCAAGGGUCAUCUCUAGUGCUCCCAGCUCCCUCAGAACCCCCACGGGUUCCAGUCUGGCCCUUCUUAGUCAUUUUCCCACCUCUCAGUCACUUUCGGAUUUUCUGCCUCUUUGUACCUGCACUGCAUUCUGUGAAAUUCCCUCCCAUUUAUGUCUCAGUUCACCAAAUCUUUCUACUUCUCUAUAUCACCAACCCUGGU